AGAGCCUCUCUUAACACUGUCCUGUAGCUCAGCAACUCCAAAUUAGCACAGCUCCACACAUCCAAAGCCUGGAAAGGGUGGAAGAUGAAUAUGAACGGACAGAUCCCUCAUGCUCACCCUUGGUGGUGAAUUGAGUCAUCAGCUGAGUAUGGAAAGGAGUGGGGAACAAGCUCACAGGCUCUUUGUCUCCUUCGACUUUUGUUUCACAUUUGCCAGGAGGAUUAGCUUUCCUUGUUGCCUGUGCUCAGCACAGCAUGAAGAGAGGAAGCAUGGUCUAGCUGGGUACCAAGGAUGUUGCAAGAGAUCCGGGGCCACAGAGUAGGAGCCGGAGAAAACCCAGAGAAGCUGCUGACAACCAUGCCAGUCCCCUGCCCACUCUGCCUCUUGCCUAGGUCUGACAAAACUGGAGAAAUUAAAUUCUUUUUCAGCUUUCAUUUUCUUCAUCCCCACAACAGACACCAGUGUGGUAAGCACAAAGUCAGCAGGUCUGACUUACAAGAGGCUGAACACCCUGUUUUACAAAUGUUUGUGAAACCAA
ensembl:lncRNA novel transcript